UAAAAUAAGUAUAGACAAAUCUAAUGACAAAAAAAGCAACUCAAAAUGCUGAUUCACAUAUUUUACUGUAUUUUUGGAAAACAUGCAAUAAAGUAUCUGAUGGAAAUCCAGAUGGUGCAAGUAUUAUACUAUCUAAGGCCUUUCUCAUUCAGUGUCAGGGCCGCUUCCCCAGUCGUUUGGCGUGUACUUUGAGAUCACUUCAUUUUUUAGAGAAGUAUGCAUUUUCUUGGUUCUCUUUGCAAAUGCCAUUAAUAUCAGAUAUAUUUUCAAUGGCAGAAUAAGUUUUUUGUUUGAGGAAUCUUGUAGUGUUAUGAUUCAAACGAACUGAGGAGCUGUUUCUGCAAGGACAGGACGUACUUCUGGACGGUGAUAGCGACUCCGACUGGGAGGCCCCGGUGCCAAGCUGCCCGCUCUACCUGUGCCCCCAGUGAUGUUCAUAUGCCACAGUUCAUUACUGCAGGCAUGACUGUGCCUCCGAGCCAAAAGGGCACAGCAUGGAGGUGUCGUUGUGUUCUGUGUCGCAUGAAAUGCACCACUUGUUCAGUUUGCCUCUGCUUUACAUCAGAAAGAGACUGCUAUGGGACAGGGCACAGGCAGCAAAAUACUGUGACGAGGAUUUCCAAGGGGUAUACUGUUUUAAAAAAUAUAUAUUUAUUUUCUAAUAUUUUUUUAAACAUUUUUUUUUGUGUGUGUGUUAUUUGCACUGCUGUAUAUAGUUAUAGGUCAUUUCACCAAUUCGGCCACUUGGGUACAUUUGGGCAACUUGUGUUGGACACCUGGGUGACUUCAUGCUAAAUGUCAUGUAGCUCACCCAUUCCUGAAGUUAUCAGUCUGAAAUUUUGCACACCUACAGUUGCCCUCUUGUGUUAUCCAUCAAAAUUAUCUCCAGCAUCCUAUCUGACUGUGUGGCUAUUCUAGUACAUGUGAAAGAUGAUACUACAACAAUAAAAAACAGAAAACGUA